rnacentral:rRNA from 1 species
UGCAAGUCGAACGGUAACAGGCAAAAGCUUGCUUUUGUGCUGACGAGUGGCGGACGGGUGAGUAACACGUAGGAAUCUGCCUAGUAGGUGGGGGACAACCCGGGGAAACCCGGGCUAAUACCGCAUACGCCCGUACGGGGGAAAGCGGGGGGAUCUUCGGACCUCGCGCUAUUAGAUGAGCCUGCGUCGGAUUAGCUUGUUGGUAGGGUAAAGGCCUACCAAGGCGACGAUCCGUAGCUGGUCUGAGAGGACGAUCAGCCACACUGGGACUGAGACACGGCCCAGACUCC